rnacentral:rRNA from 12 species
UCUCCCCCAAGAGUUCACAUCGACGGGGAGGUUUGGCACCUCGAUGUCGGCUCAUCGCAUCCUGGGGCUGUAGUCGGUCCCAAGGGUUGGGCUGUUCGCCCAUUAAAGCGGUACGCGAGCUGGGUUCAGAACGUCGUGAGACAGUUCGGUCCCUAUCCGUCGUGGGCGUAGGAAAUUUGAGAGGAGCUGUCCUUAGUACGAGAGGACCGGGAUGGACAUACCGCUGGUGUACCAGUUGUUCCGCCAGGAGCAUCGCUGGGUAGCUAAGUAUGGAUGAGAUAAACGCUGAAAGCAUCUAAGUGCGAAACUCACCUCGAGAUAAGAUUUCCCAUUACGUAAGUAAGUAAGAUCCCUGAAAGAUGAUCAGGUAGAUAGGAUGGAAGUGGAAGUGCUGUGAGGCAUGGAGCGGACCAUUACUAAUCGAUCGA